GAAAGACGUGCGCGUAGCCCGCGUAAAAUAUCGCUGCCACAUAACAACUGACCGUGCCCAGACCGAGCAUAGGGAUCUAAACAAAUCCAGAAAAUCUUACUCUUUAAGAAGAUCGUGAAGAGCAAAAGAGGAAAACUUUUAUAACGCAGACCUUCAAAUUUAUUCCUUUUCGAGUAUCAACGAUUCAACUCUAACCCGGAAUGAGACGAAGUCAAAUAGAGAAAAGCCAAAAAUACUCAAAGAUGAGACAAUUAAGAGGUACAUAACGGCAAAUCACAGCACUCUUUGGUCGCAAUUUGAAAGAAAUAUGGAUAAUCACCAUUGAAGACGAUACAUUAUUCAAUAUCUUUACUAUACCCUUUUACUAUAAUCUUUACUAUAUUCUUUUUAUAGAGGCAUACUUAAAAGGAAGCACAAUUAAUUGCUAAGUAAGAGUGUAUGUGUUUUCGUCGUUGUCGUAUUGCUGCUGCUGUUGUUGUUAUUAUUAUUAUUAUUGUUUAUUUUGUUGUAUGUAAUCGAUCGACAGAAAGAAACAAACGCAAAAGUAUAAGCAGAGGAGAGGACAGAUGGUGGGAAAAACUAAGGAAGAAACGAGUAUUACAUAAAUCAUCCUGUUAAUCCGUUAAUUAAUGGACUUCGAGUUGACGUCGAUUGAGAUAAUUAUGAGAUUAUAAAUAAUAUCAAGUCGAAAGAAAUUUCGACAAAAUGAUGAAUUAUCGGCGCGAAAUAUACAAACUAAUCGUAUCGUUAUAUUGAAGAAAUUCUAAUCGAGAAAAAAAAAUCUCGA